ACAAACUGCUUUAGAAAAGAAACAGAAAGAGGCUCAAGCCUUUGAGAGGCUGCCACUUUUGUAAAAAAUCUCUCUCUGCCCCCAGCUUUGUUUGACACCCAACAAAUUUCUUUAAUCAAAAUCACUCCUUUCUCUUCUACAGAUAAAUUCCUGGAAAGUGUAAAGGGAAGAAAGCCCCUCCAUUGGGAAAUAGGUUGGUGUCAGGCUACUUGCUUGUCUGAUUCUUCACAAUGAUAAAGGCCAGCAGAGAAAGUUCAGUGCAAAAGUUCAUCAGCCACCAGGCCAUCAGGAGCAUCUAUUGAUCAAAUCAAAUGUUCACUUCAAACUGCGUUUCUUAACCUGCAGGUGUAGAAUCACCCAUAACAGAUACAGUCACACCUAUCUCUGCACAUACUUGUACGUUCAGGACAACCUGAUGUAUUACAAUUAACAACAUGGUGUCAGUACUGCAGAAGGAUUCACUUGUAUAAAAUAUCCACCAGAGAAAUCGCCUGGAAGUUACUUUCUAAUCUCCUUGACUCUUCCUCGGUACCUUGUGGAAUAGAUGUGGGCUGGUAAGAGGUCUCCGACAGCUGGUACGUUGGCAAGGUCGGCAUGGCAGUGGGAGGGAACCCCCCGGGAAUGAGAUGGUUGAAAGCCAUCAGUUGAUUGGCCCCAGCUUGCUUCCUCCAUCUUGCACGGCGGUUGCUAAACCAGACCUAUGGAUUUAAUUUAAAAUUUAAGGAUUUCACUGAUGAAAUAAUAGUACAUUCUUAAUGAAUUUUUUAUGCUAAAACAGAUUAGAGGCUUCUUACUGAAAGGGCAAAUAGAUGCAAGAGUUCUCUGCCUUCUGUGUUGUUUGGGCGAAUUGUCAGGAGUAAAAGAAGAGUUUAGUGUCAAAGGUCAGUAGAGGGGCUUCAGGGACCCACCAUGAUCUUGCAACAACAGCCCCCAUGAACCUUAUGAGGACCAUGGGCAGGAAUCACUGAGCAGGAGUAGGAACAACAGGAACUCCCCUCCCUACCCUCAACAUCCACCCACCUACGUGUAGACAGCCUUCUGGGGAGGAUACAUGAGCCUCUGUGACCCCUGCAUGACGCAUGUCCUAAAUGUGGCCUUGCCUUUUACUCCAAGCCUUGUAUUUUAUAUUCUUAUUAGUCUGUCUCUGUAUUUCUGUGGUCACUAGGGGUAUAGCUUCUGGAUGGUCAUAUAAAUUGAACAGAGGAUAAGUGGAGCCCUUUUUUCAUCUCUUCCAAAAUAUGAAACAUUGCACUGAUCUCGGUGGAAAUAAAUGCCAAAGAGGUAAGUGUUUCAAGAAAUGAAAGCCUUUUUUUAUCUAAAAUAAUUCAUUUGUGUCUUAUUUAUUUCAACAACAGCUUUAAGCUCCUAGAACACGCUGUGUCAAGCACUAUGCUAACCAGGUACAUUCAGAAAAGCCUGAUACAAUAUAAUAAAAUGCCCUCAAAUAAUUCAAAGCCCAAGUAUUUUGUAUGAGUCAAUGGAGAGAAAGGGCAGUCAUGGCAGCAAGAAAUGUAACUGAAUAUCUAAACUAUUGAGAAAUUGUGAUAUAAGGCCUUUCAUGGGUCCUGUGCUCCUGCCCAACUCUUACAUCUGCAAAGUUUAAAUGUAGAACUUGGGGUGAUUUUUCCACGGAGCACACAUGAUGUUUCCCCUAAAAUGAGAGAGGAUUUCUACCAACUAAAGAUAUUCUAAUUCCUACAUCAAAAGUUCAUUGAAACUUUUUUUUUUUUUUUUGAGACAGUCUUGCUCUGUCGCCCAGUCUGGAGUGCAAUGGCGGGAUCUCAGUUCAACCCAACCUCCGCCUCCCAGGUUCAAGGGAUUCUCUUGCCUCAGCCUCCCCAGUAGCUAUGAUUACAGGCACCCGCCACCAUGCCCAGCUAAUUUUUGUAUUCUUAGUAGAGACGGGGUUUCACCAUGUGGGUCUUGAACUCCUAAGCUCAGGUGAUCCACCCGCCUCGACCUCCCAAAGUGCUGGGAUUACAGGCGUGAGCCACCCAUUGAAACUUAAUAUGGAGGAAAGCACUGUGUUUGGGGUUGGAAGGAUAUAAAGGGAAUCAAGUAGGAUCUCUGCACUCUGGUAGUUUGAUGCCUUGUCCUCAUGGGAUUCACAGAGCAGUCAAGGAGACCAAAAUAAUUGCUCGCUAGAGGUAGAAACUUCACAUUUGGAAGCACAGAGAAUCAGGAAAACUCUAAAGUGGAAGCAAAAAGUUUCAGCUCAUUUUAAAAUUUGAUUCUAAUUUCGACGAGCGAUCGCUUGAGAUGGAAGUGACAUCCAUCCUGUCCUACAGGGCAGGCAGAUGCAGCUUGUUACAGGAGGCCAGCUUAAGAGAAGAUGAGAAUUGAUUUCCUUACAGAGCAAUGUUAACAAUUUUGCAACUUAAUUGUAAUUCUUAAAGUCAGAUCAUUUAAGAGCGGAGGAAAAGAUUUUUCUGGAGAAGAAGCUCAAUUUAAUAAAUCCUUUGCCGAGGGAUUUGCUCAAACUUUUGGUACUCACCCAAGCAUUUGUCUGAAAAGAGUUUUGUCUUCUCUCGCCAUUGUUGCAAGAUACUGGUAAGGAAAGCUGUUUGAACUUCCUCAAAACAUCAACAUUUAAUACUCCUUAAGUUUCCAACAGGAAAACGAGGUAAGUUAAUAUUUUCCCAUGUUGAUACAUAAUUGAAUUAGAGUUUUACUUAACUUAAUAAAUUGCCACCUGGGGUAAUAGAACCAUGAACAGCACUUAAUUUCAGGUCUGCAUUAACUGUGCUUUCUCACUGCCCCGGUCUGAGUGCCUGUUACCACGGCUCCCAAAGGCAUCAGGGUAAGAAAAUCAUUUUCAAGAAAGUUCUGGGAACAAACUGUGUUAGCUUGGGGAGGCUGAAGGUGGGAAAUUAGGGUCAUGUUCAUGCCUGAGUGCACUGUACCAUAACACACACUGUGGUUGUAGUUUAUAUUAUAAUACGUCAAGACUAAGGAGGUACUCCCGGCUCAGAUCAGGUAGUCCUCUGCAACUAUCUAGACCAGCGAUGUACAGUGCAUCUCCAGCUUUAUAUUGCUGGGAGGAGAACUGGACUUCCAAAAGUUUUGAUGUAACUUCACUCAUGAAGAUUUACUAUGCUCAGUUCCACUGGUGAAACCCUUUAUGAAGAACUCAGAAAGGUACGCUUCGGUUUUUGUCAGAUUUGUUGGCAAUCUCUCUGUGCCACCUGCCUUCUGUAACCUUUAGAUAAGUAAACCCAGGAGUGGUGAAGCCUGAUCUCUCCAUCAAUCUCAAGUUACUAUUGACUCAAGGUUCAUUCUAACUCCACCAUAACCCAAUUUUUAAAAACAAAAAUGUCUUUGCUGAGAUAAUAAAGAAGAAACAUCAUGAGUUUCUACAAAUACCUUCAAAAGACAGAAUCCAAACAGAGUAAGAGUAUAAGGGUUUGGGGGUUUGUUUUCAUAUUUUCUAAAAUGAUAUAAAUAGGUAACAAAGACAUUGAGUAAACUCACCAGGAGUUGGAUUAAAAAGUCCUUAUAUUUAUUAUACAGUAUCUAUUAUAUCCACAAUAAAAAAUGAAGAGAAAUUGUUGUGAAGCAAAUCUUUACUGAAAAACAAACCUUCAGCAAGAGGUUCAAGAGAUUCCCAAAGGAAGGAAUUUAAAUGUUGUUUAAAUUUAGGCUAAAUAAAUCCAGAGGGCUAUUCCUAAGAGAACCAGGGCUUAGUGAGGACUGGCCUGCCUGUCUCUGGUCAUUUAACCUGAUUUUUUAUCAUCUUACCAUUGCCAGCCUUCUGCAUUUCCUAGAACCAGCUGAAUUUGCCAAAAGAAGUAUUAAAGGAAAAACACACUAACUUUGCAAAUUAAGAACUGGUCUUUGCCUUCUUUAUGUUUUGAAACUCAAAACAGACAAAUUUUCUAUUUUUAGUAGACUAAAAAGAGUACCCUAGAAAUGACCUUUACUUUCAAUACCUGAACGAACCAAGCGUAGUGAUCCUAGGAGGCUGUUAUCAGCCCACAUUUAACUGAAAUUUUCUUGAUACUCCUAAGUCUUAGAUAACUCUUUCAAUAUUGUAUCACUAAUUCCUAACAUACAAUCAAUGAAUAAUCUGCAGAAUGGCAUGUGUGAGUGUAUAACACUGAAUAAAUUCAUCUAAAAUAUACAUAUUUAUAACUUAGUAGUUACACUUUCUAGAAAUUUCCCCUUGUUUUGAAAAGAAUAGCAGUAGCAACAGAGGCAAACUGGCCUAUGACUGAUGUUCUAGGAGAGAACAGAAAUUUACCACCCAAUGUCUUUGCCAGUAGGGUGGAAAGAACAAGAUUUACAAAGUUGGCUAUACACCUUUAAAUGAAAUUAUAUGAUCUACAAUUCAAUGUAAUUUUACUAUCCCCACACAAGAUUACCUGGCCUUCCGCAUCACACUUGGCAUGUUAAGGAAGUGGGGGCAGGAGGCACAAAUUUGUCAGUAACCUACUAUACUAUUAGACACAGUUAAUUGUCUAUCAUUGCAUGUAUAAUAUUACAUCAAAAGUCUCCCUCAAAGCAAGUUGUUAUUUCAUUUGAUAAACUGCAGCCCGGUUCAUUUUUAUCUGCCGCCUGUACUUCCCAACUUGUAUGUCUCUCUACUGAGUCCUUCCAUAAAGCCAUAUUUCAUGUCUUUGAAAAAUGAUCUUUACAUGCAUUUCUCUAGUAGUAUAAUGUCCAAUGAUUUUUUGAAACAAAAUUUAAAUUGGUUGAAAGAGCCCCAUAACAUCAUGAUAACUAGGAAAAAAA